UACAGAGGUCCCAAGCGUUGUUCGGAUUCACUGGGCGUAAAGGGUGCGUAGGCGGUGGGGUAAGUCGGAUGUGAAAGCUCGGAGCUCAACUCCGAAAUGGCAUUGGAAACUACCCUGCUAGAGGAUUGGAGGGGGGACUGGAAUACUUGGUGUAGCAGUGAAAUGCGUAGAUAUCAAGUGGAACACCAGUGGCGAAGGCGAGUCCCUGGACAAUACCUGACACUGAGGCACGAAAGCUAGGGGAGCAAACGGG
rnacentral:rRNA from 1 species